ACGCAGCCCGGCUUGAGCGGAAAUCCUUUUUUUUGCAUUAGCAAAAGCGUGGGCAAAAAAGAUUGGGAGCGGAAGACGGAUAAAGC
rnacentral:sRNA from 1 species